rnacentral:lncRNA from 1 species
CUGUGGAUGAGCUGAUAGCUCACCUGAAAACAAACAAUUAAGUAGAUGGUAUUGGACACCUUGCAACCUAUUCGUUCUCAUUUCCUGCCAGUCUGGCUCAAGUUGUUUCCUCCGCCUGGAUUGUCCUCCGGCCUUGUUUGCUGAAAUCGUCUUUCAAGACAAGUCAAAAGUUACCCUUCUGGAAGUCUUUAUACAUCCACAGGUUUUAUAGAGCCACCCUGUGCCCAGCUUCCAGGCAAGACCUUGGUCUCUGGAACCAAUCUGUGUUCAAAUCCCGCCUCAGCACUUUCCAGCUAUGUGACACCUGUGUAAAAAAACUUUCGUCAUGGCCCCUGGACUGAUUACUAGAGCUCCUGGCCCCUGGGCUUCUUAGAAAAGAGAGCCUGAGACUAGAAAUGCCUUCUCUUCCCGUGGGGACCCUUCCUGAGAGGAGAGAGAGACAGCUGAGAUGGAGUUACCACCUGCAGCCCAGGAGCCUGGGGGCUUUCACACCAGCUGUACUGUGACCGCAAGGAGAGAGUCUUUUUCAAAUCUCUUUAUCUCUAACACCUAGGACAAUGCCUGGUACUUAGCAGGUAGGUCCUUAAUACGUUUUGGGGAAUGAUGAUAUUAACAACACAGCAUCAGGGGCCUGCUCCGUGGCCGAGUGGUUAAGUUCGCACGCUCCGCUGCGGCGGCCCAGGGUUCGGAUGCUGGGCAUGGACAUGGCACUGCUCGUAAGGCCACAUUGAGGCGGCGUCCCACAUCCCACAACUAGAAGGACCUGCCACUAAGAUAUACAACUGCGUACAGGGGGAGUUUGGGGAGAUAAAGCAGGAAAAAAAAAAAAAAAUUGGCAACAGUUGUUAGCCCAGGUGCCAAUCCUUGAAAAAAAAAACAAAAGGAAGAUUGGCAACAGUUGUUAGCCCAGGUGCCAAUCUUUAAAAAAAAAACAAAACACAGCAUCAUGGUUAACUUCAGACAGAUUGAAUGACUUGCCUCAAGUCACAGAGCUGGUUAGCAGCGGGGUUGGAAUGCAAACACAAAUUUGUUUGAUUCCAAAAAUCUGCUGUUUCCACAAAGAAGGCCAUCCAUAUAUGUCCUCUUACUUAUUUUUCAUGUUAGCGUUAUCUUUCCUCUGUUGUGAAUUCCUAGUGAAAGCCUAGGCCUCAAUCAUAGCAGUCAUCAUUUUAUAGCUGUUAUUUUUCAGGUGUGUAGUAUGUGCCAGGCAUUGUGCUCAGCACCCCGCAUAUAUGAUCGCAUUUAAUCUUCACAACAAUCCCAUGAGGCUGGCGCUAUUACUAUAGCCUGUGGCAGGUGGGCAACUGAGACUUAACAAGGCAAGUUAACUUGCAUGCUGGCCUGAGUAAGAGUUUUCUGAAUGCAAAUCCUGGGUCCCCCUGUGUGUCCCCCUUUGCCCCGGCUGUCAGACCAUUACCACUGCACCACCCUCCCUCUUUAUGUAGUAUCUGCUACUCUGCUGGGUCCCUCAGCCUUUACCGACACUCCCUCAGCCACCUACUGGCUGGGCCACACCUGGAUCGUGCCACGAUCUAAGACUACCCCACCUACGAAACUCAAUAACUCUCGUCCAUAACCUCAGCCUCAUCCAACCUGACUCACUCAACUACUCCCAAGAACCAACACACUGUUCUUAAGCCUCCGGUUCCUCAACUUACCCCUUUGCUCACACUCAAGCUCCCUCAGGGGCUCAUUUUCUUACAUCUCUAAUCUAAACCUCAUUCUUGAGCAUGCUGGCAACACCACUCAUGCCCCGUGAAUCCCUAAAUUUAGGUAAUACCCCUUCCCUCCUGUUCCCAAACUUGGCCAGGAACCCGGCUGGAGGAAGUUACACAUUGGUGCCCUCACAGAUCUGUAGUCUUUGAUCCCAGUGUGGCCCUCAGUAGCACUCAAAACCCCCUUUCCUGCUCAGCUCCCUCUCCCAUUCCUCCAGGGCCCUUUACCAUCUUUACCACUUUCUUCAAGCCACCCAACCCAACACUCACUCCCAAUCACACCGCUUCCUACAUCACUGCAAAAAUCAAGGCUCUCAGGUGAAAAUUUCCUAAUGCUCCUGUGCCCAUAAUUUUAUCUAUGACCGUAUUCAGCACCAACUUCUCUCCUCCAGUUGCAGAGGUAGGUCUGCUUCUUUAGCUCAAGGCAAAGUCCUCUCUCCCAUGCUCUUUCAUCCCCAUCUCUGUGACAAUGUUGUUCUGUUAGUCAUUCCCUAUCUAACUGAUUGCACCUUUCCUUCUCCAUUAACUCUUUCCCAUCAGCUGAAAAUCUCCCAUGGAAAAGCAAGAACAGAAGUAAAAAUUAAAGAAAAAAACAAGGACAAUUUUCCAUUGACCUUUAGUCAACUUCUGGUCCCAGGUCUCUGCCUCCUCCAUAGUCUGGCUCCCCAAAUAAUAAUCUGCACUCACUCUCUUCCCUUCCUCUCUAUCAUUAGUCAACCGACUAUUAAUUCAAUCACACUUUCACCCACCCUUGCCCCUCCAAUAAAAUUAUCACAGCAAAGUGUACCAUUGCCCUUCUACUUGCAAAUCUGGUAGGCUGCCUUUUGGUCCUCAUUUCACUUCAUUUCUCUGUGAUAUUUGGUGUUAUUGACCAUUCUCUUCCUGAAGCUUUUGAUUCCCUUGCUUUCUAAUGACAUCACUCUGUUCUCCUUGUUUUAAUUAAUUUAUUAUCUUAGUCAGCAAACCUCCCUACCAUGUGCUUGGCACUACAGCGGUAGGUGCUUGGGAUACAAAGAUAAAGAAGACAUGGUGACUGUCCUUAAAGACUAAGAAAUUUGGUUAGAUUUCUGGAAAUUUUGUAGCUUCUUCAAGUUGUUUUGCUGCCUCUUUGUUUGUCAGUACUGUGUGGGAAUCCCCUUUAAAGACAAUGCCCUUGAAAAGGAGGAGGUUCAUACGCCUGGCCUGGGAGAUCACACGGAUGCUCCACCCAAUUCCAGAGCGUGUGGGGAAAGAAGAGCCAAUAAUGGAGUGGGCAGCUCAGGGCUAGAGAAAGUAGGCACGAAAGAAAAGACAAAAGAAAGAAACCCUAGUCUGCAUCAAAGAGUAACUGCAGGAGCGUAAAUUGCAGAAAGCUCAUGUUGGGUCCUUGACGUCAAAAGCCGUGUGUCUCUUGUACCUGUUUGUUCUAUCCCCAUUGCCACCAUCCUGUUCUAAGCCUUCAACACUUGCUUUCAAAGUCUCUCUGGGACCUCUCCCCAAAAGAUACCUCUGGACAGAAAGUAGUCCUCUAUCCUGUGUAUGGGAUUCCCUUUGGGGUCACAGAAUUGGAUUUCUCAUGAAAGAGUAAUGCCACAACCCUGGGGGCUUUGGAGGCUGAAUGGAAUUGGCUUGAAUUUUAAGAGAUUUAGAUGUUUACCGUGGGUGUUAGAGGUAAAAGAUGUCUCCUGAAGUGUGCUGGGAGGGGGGAGCCAAGCAAGGCCCUGUUUCCCUGGGAUGUCACUUGGAAUGAGGUAGGAUUUAUAAGCCCCAGAGAGCAAGGUGUACCUUGUAAACUCGAUUAUUUAUGCAUUGGCUUCCUUUUUGUCCUCUCUUUAUGUUUAGUAAACUUUUAUUAACUUUAUGUUUAUUUGACCUAUGCUAAGGGGAAGCAAAGAAAGGGACUUUUUGACAGAGCCUUAAAAGGGAAGAAGUCUACCUCUGAGGCCAAUGUGGUAAAGGCAGUGGGCAUUGGGGAAAGACCACAACAAGAGUCAAAUCAGAAGUACAGCGUUGAGAUCUCUGGGUUCUGCUCCAGGAGAGCGCUCUCUUCAUACAAGCUCACAGCGCUGGGUUUUCCUUUAUCCUGGCAGGUGGCAUCCUCUUACAUCCCCAGGACCACUGUACUGCACUCUCCCCACUGCCUGCAUCUCUCUUAUCCCACACUUUUGCUUUGGUCACUGUCACUCACAGUGCUUCCUUCCUUAGGAAGCCCUCCCUCUGCCAAUUGAAAUCCAACUGUUCAAGCCCCAUUUUCUUCAGAAAGUCAUCCUUCACUGAUCCUACACAUGUUCAUGUUUCCCUUCUGGAAACUUUUCUAGCACUGUACGAUAUUAGCAUUGGGUUACAAGCCUACUUACAUAAUGCAUGUAGGUCUUGUCUUCUCCGAUUAGGCUGAGAACCUGUCAAGAGGAGGGAUGGAUGGCCUCUCGUCUUUGGUAUUGCUCAAAGUGAAGGGCACACAGCCAACCCCAUCUCUACCAGGUGACUGAAUUGUUCCAAUUUAAAAGGCACAGAGGUGGGAGAGCCAGGAGACUGGAGGGGCUUUCAGUUAAUUAUUUUGACUGAUAUUCUAGAGUGACCAGAAAUAAAAUAAGCCUUGGGUAGUGGGGUAGAAGAUCUUUAGAACAUCACAUUACCCUCUUUAUUGAGGAAAUUUGAAUCCUUUCUCAUCUCUGAAGAUCCAGAACUAAAAGCCCCCCCCAAACACACAGAUUUCACACUAAACUCCCCAAAGUGUUCACUAUCUGUACGAACAUAAACAUACUUCCCCCUUGUGGAAAAGUGUCUCUAAAGAACAUCAGUAAUGAAUCUCUGAUAGCCCUCUCUCAUCUCCAUAAAUCCUUUAGGGUUAGAGGUCGGGAGAGGGUACUCCUUUGGUAUCAUUCAAGGCAGAUUGUACAGUGCAUUAGUGAGCACGAAGGGACAGCCAUAAAAUAUUCAUAGGCUGUGGUGUGGACGCACUGACUGCUUGAGGGACCUGCGCCUGAGGGAUUAGAUCAGUCAGAUCCCCUAGCAGCGCUCUAUUUCCUUAAACUUGGAGGUUUCCACAGCUCACCAACACAUCUGAUUUAGAAUUUAAAGGGAUUUUUUGAAACCACAGGAGAAAGGGUGGGGUAGGCUGGAGGUAAACUAUUUGCCCAGGGCUCCUGGCCUGAGGAGAAGCAACGGACUUUUUUCACAAGGAGGACUAUCUGGGGCAGAAGCAAAAACCUCCUCUGAGAAUUACUGGACAAAGUUAGAGUUGGAGGAAAAGUAUCUCCCAGGAAUACACCUAGGGAAGAAUCCCUGCCAGGAAAGACACUCACCUCCCUUUAUUCAUUUUUGAUCAAACUUAAUUCAAUCUAACCAAUAUUGGAUUGUAUAUGUAAUCAAGGUACUUGCCUGAUAAGGAAUCAGAAAGUGUACUCUACAUUCCAGAGGAUUAGAAUUUAUUUGAAGAUAAUUAUGCUGUCACACGGGAAGAAAAUAAAAUGUCUAUAGAAUCCUCCUUUGUUUUUGUUUUUGUUUUUUAAGAUUGGCACCUGGGCUAACAACUGUUGCCAAUCUUCCUUUUGUUUUUUUUUUUCUGCUUUAUCUCCCCAAACCCCCCCAUACACAGUUGUAUAUCUUAGUUGCAGGUCCUUCUAGUUGUGGGAUGUGGGACGCCACCUCAACGUGGCCUUAUGAGCAGUGCCAUGUCUGCGCCCAGGAUCCAAACCCUGGGCUGCUGCAGCAGAACGCACGAACUUAACCACUCGGCCACGGAGCUGGGCCCAGAAUCCUCCUUUGGGUGCUGGGCAGGUAAUUAAGAUCUUGUUUUUCCAGGGAAGUUUCACAUAUUGCAGCUGCAGGUUGGGGGGUGGGGGGUUGGGUGGAGGCCUGACCCUAGCUGGGGAAAGAGUAAGACCAUUCUGAGUCACCCCAGAUUCAGGACUAGCAGGUGUCACCUAGGCAGGAAGCGUGAGGGUGGGGUGCCAAAAGCCUGAUACUGGAGGGAAGAGAAGGGCAGGGAAAACAGCCAGGCUAGGAUGCAUGCCACGUGUGGUUUCAAUCUUCUAGACGCUGGGCGUGAAGUAGUUAAAGAGAAACCCAAGACAGCUGCAGCCCGGGGGCUCUGUAAUGGGAAGUCUCCUAGAGUUCAUUUUUCUGUGCCACCAAGGGAGACUUUUUCAGCUGGGACCCAAUCUGGAAGCUAUUCUACCCACUGGAAAGCCAGGAGCUAUAAAACCCUCCUGAUGCCUCAGCAUGACUCAGAGGCAGCUGAACAAGACCCUGAAGAGAGUGGGGACAGCUGUGGAGCCUCACACUUUGGCAUAUCUCGGGGUGGAAAGCAAAACCUCCUUAGAAAUAUAAAAUGAUGUUGCUGUCAUUCACCAAUACAAAUUCCAGGCAAGUGAAAGACUUGUGUGUAAGAACGUGGAAACCUAGAGUAAAGUAAAAGUGAAUAUAAAAUACUUUACUAGAGUAAAGUAAAAGUGAAUAGCUGAUCUCAAGCAAAGAAAGAAGUCAUUAGUAAUAGAGAAAGUGCUGAGAAACUUCAAGGUCUACACAGGUGGACGGAGCUAGGACUCAAACCCAGGGCUGUGCAACACCAGAGCCUUCCUCUUAACCCUGCCCCAAACUGCUUCCUUAGAGAAAAAGUAAAAAUAGGCAGUUCAGAAAACAAAGAUUUCUGGGGCCAGCCCCGUGGCUGAGUGGUUAAGUUCACACGCUCCACUUCAGCAGCCCAGGGUUUCACUGGUUUGGAUCCUGGGCGUGGACAUGGCACCUCUCGUCAAGCCGUGCUGAGGUGGUGUCCCACAUAGCAUGACCAGAGGCACUCACAACUAGAAUAUACAACUAUGUACUGCGGGGCUUUGGGGAGAAGAAGAGGAAGAAAAAAAAGAAGAUUAGCAACAGACGUUAGCUCAGGUGCCAAUCUUUAAAAACAAAAAGCAAAGAUUUCUAAAGUAUGCCCUCCAAACUCACCAGAAAUGGAAAGAGCAGGCAACAAAUUGGGAAGUUUGGGUAAUAAAUGAUAGACAUAGAGUGAUAGACCUAAAACAGAUGUAAAUCCAAAAGAAAAAGACAGAAAGAAGCUAAUGGAAAUUUUGACAGAGGUGACAAACAGGCUGUUUCCAAAGGAAGAAAUGUUGACAAUGAACGUGUGAAAAAUGCUGAGUCUCCUUAGUAUCAAAGAAAUGCAUAUUAACUAAGACACAGCAUUUUUUCAUCUAACAAAUUGGCCAACUUUUAACAAAAAGUUAAUGCCUAGUUUUUGGUGAGGUAAGAUUGGUAGGGAGACCAACUUUUUAGAGAGCCAACCCAGGACACAAUUAUACCAGACAAAAAAUUAAUGGUAAUAUAAUGUAUAAUAAAUAAUUACACAUGUAUAUAUCAGUUUAAUAUGAAAAUAGAUGUUAAUUUUAAAUUAUAUAUCAUUCUGUAUUGUUUAGUUUUCUGUUGCAUAAGUGCUAUUUAAACUAAACCACAAUGAAACUAGUUAAGAACAACUCAUCAUAAUUAAUAAUAGGACAAAUUACAAAAUAAUGAGCAAGAAAAAUAUAACAAUAUUUUUAUAGUGUUUCUUUUGAUUUUCUGAUACAGUAAUUUACUUUAACUCUUUUUAACUCUAUUGGAUAUUUACAUUUUGUAGGCUUUAUUGUACAUGCUGAAGAUGCACAAAUGUAAUACCUUUUUAAAGGACUGUAUAAAUGCAUUGGACUAAUAAAUGAAUAUUAACCUAUGUUUAAUAAAAAAAGAACAAUGAUGUGUUUCUUUCUCUCCCACAGUACCAUAUGAUAUUUUUACUCUUCCUGUUUCUUUUUGCAACAACUUAGAGAAGGCUCCUUUUCUUUUCUGUAGUGAUAGACUGAACAUAACGCAAAUGUAAAAUCCAGUUUGACUUUCAGAUCUUCUUUUAUCAACCCCACAUCAUGCUAAUUCCUGGUGUCAGUCCAAUGUGAUGACAUCCAGCUAAAUAUCCUCCCAAUAAAAGCAUUUUAGCAUAAAAUACUUAGAAUUUUACUUACUAGUAACAGCAGGUUUUUAGACUGGUGCGCCUUUGUUUCCAGCUCUCCAAAAAUGUCCAUCCACUUUAUAUUGACAGGCUUGUAAUUGUAGAUCAGCUGUUCGUCAAUAAUGUCCUUUGCAUCUAUAAAUUCAUCUUCUAGACGCUCCAUGUCUAAAAUGUCCAUCAUUUGUCCAAAGCACAUUGGAUAUCAUCACAAGUUAAGCCUCUCUCAGGGAAGCAGUUUUAAAGUGUAGAUGUAAUCUGAACUUGUGAAAUUGCAGUUGGAUUCCAAAUAAGUUACAGUUUUAGUAAAGAGAUGAGAAAGUCCUGUUUAACUUGGUUGACCUUUUUUAGUUCUAGUAACUUUUUUUUUUUGAGUUCAGAAACAGUCUUAUUUCAAAAAAAGGCUAUAUGAGUUUCUGUCACAACUACACAUAACAUGAAACAAUUCAAGUGGAUUCAGUUCAUCCUUUCCUGGGCUCCUUAUGGCCUCUUCAAAGAUCAUCAAACAAUUUUGGAGAAACAGCAUAUAAACUUCCGUUUUACUGUAAUGCUUUUUUCCAUUUCCAUCCUCAAUGUAUUUUCAAAUUAGAGAAGGACAUUCUUCUUGUCCUACAUUUUAAAAAUAUGAUUUUACAGACAAUAUCUAACAUCUUUCUAUGGCCAGCAGCAGUGAUAGCCAUCCUAUAGGCACAUGUCUAAGAAAGCUCUUCUCGUUUUUAUAAAGUCAAAUAUCUCAUUAAGUAACUGUAGUUUUCAGGAAACUGAAAAGUGACAAAGACUUUCAUAAUGAAAACCUCGAGUUCAUAAGUGAGCAAAUCACAUUCCCUUUUAGCAAUAUCAUGUACUAGGUAUGCAAAACAUUUAGCAGG